rnacentral:rRNA from 1 species
UGGGGUCGUGAAGGCUACACAUGCAGUCGAGCGGAUGAAGGGAGCUUGCUCCUGGAUUCAGCGGCGGACGGGUGAGUAAUGCCUAGGAAUCUGCCUGGUAGUGGGGGAUAACGUCCGGAAACGGGCGCUAAUACCGCAUACGUCCUGAGGGAGAAAGUGGGGGAUCUUCGGACCUCACGCUAUCAGAUGAGCCUAGGUCGGAUUAGCUAGUUGGUGGGGUAAAGGCCUACCAAGGCGACGAUCCGUAACUGGUCUGAGAGGAUGAUCAGUCACACUGGAACUGAGACACGGUCCAGACUCCUACGGGAGGCAGCAGUGGGGAAUAUUGGACAAUGGGCGAAAGCCUGAUCCAGCCAUGCCGCGUGUGUGAAGAAGGUCUUCGGAUUGUAAAGCACUUUAAGUUGGGAGGAAGGGCAGUAAGUUAAUACCUUGCUGUUUUGACGUUACCAACAGAAUAAGCACCGGCUAACUUCGUGCCAGCAGCCGCGGUAAUACGAAGGGUGCAAGCGUUAAUCGGAAUUACUGGGCGUAAAGCGCGCGUAGGUGGUUCAGCAAGUUGGAUGUGAAAUCCCCGGGCUCAACCUGGGAACUGCAUCCAAACUACUGAGCUAGAGUACGGUAGAGGGUGGUGUAAUUUCCUGUGUAGCGUGAAAUGCGUAG